rnacentral:lncRNA from 1 species
GUGUGGUGGGGUGCUGAGGCAUGAGAAUUACUUGAACCUGGGAGGUAGAGGUUGCAGUGAGCCAAGAUCAUGCCACUGGACUUCAGCCUGGGCAACAAAGUGAGACUCUGUCUCAAAAAAAAAAAAGUAUGAUUUUUUUAUUUCUGUAUUUUUAAAAUUAGUAUCAGAACAUAAUCAGCUCUCCAUUUUUUUUUUUUUUUUUUUUUUAAAUAGAGGCAGGGUCUUUCUUGUUGCUCAGGAUGGAGUGCAGCGGCUAUUCACAGGCACAAUCAUAGCUUACUACAGCCUUGAACUCCUGGACUCAAGUGAUCCUACUACUUCAGCUUCCCGUGUAUCUGGGAUUACAGUUCUCCACAGGAAGGAAAUAUUGGAGCCACUGAAGCAGUCGAUAGCUCAAGAUGGAGAGAGAGACUGGCAGGAAGCAACAAGAAAGAAAAUGCGUUGGAAACUGAGAAUGGCUAUGGCAAAAAGCAGCAAAGACCCUUGACUUCUAGUCCUUGAGGCAGGGGGCCAAAGCCAACACGGACCUACCAGGAGUGGCCUGAGAAUCCAGAACACAGAGAGGAGCAGCCUGCGUUGCGAUUUUCCCAGAACCCACAACACUUGUUCCACCAACAGUGAACAUCCAGAGGGAGGCUCAACCAUGGAACCUAUACUCUGUUAUGUGGUAAUCAUGCUUUCUCACCUUUUUGUUUUUUGAAAUAGGGUCUCACUCUGUCACUCAGGCUGGAGUGCAAUGGCACGACCUCAGGUCACUGCAAUCUCCACCUCAGCUCAAGCAACCUGCCACCUUAGCCUCCCGAGGAACUAGGACUACAGGUGUGUACCACCACACCCAGCUAAUUUUUUGUAGUUUUGGUAGAGAUGGGGUUUUGCCAUGUUGCCCAGGCUUGUCUCAGACUCCUGAGCUCAAGCGAUCUACCCCCUCGGCCUCCCAAAGUGCUGGAAUUACAGGCAUGAGCCACCGCGCCCAGCCCUUUCUCACUUUUAUUAUUAUUAUUCCUUAUGCCUAGUCAAAACUUUCUCACAUUUAAACCCUUCAAUAAUAGUUUUCUGUAAAAAUAAACAAAUGAGGCCCACAGUGGCUCAUACCUGUAAUCCAGCACUUUGGGGGGCCAAGGCAGGCAGAUCACCUGAGGUCAGGAGUUUGAGACCAGCCUGGCCAACAUGGUGCAACCCCGUCUCUACCAAAAAUACAAAAAUUAGCUGGACAUGGUGGUGGGUGCCUGUAAUCCCAGCUACUCGGGAGGCUGAGGCAGGAGAAUCUCAUGAACCUGGGAGGCGGAGGUUGCAGUGAGCCGAGAUCGUGCCACUGCACUCCAGCCUGGGCAACAAGAACAAAACUCUGUCUUAAAUAAAUAAAUAAAAU